GAUGAACGCUGGCGGCGUGCCUAAUACAUGCAAGUAGAACGCUGAAGGAAGGAGCUUGCUCUUUCCGGAUGAGUUGCGAACGGGUGAGUAACGCGUAGGUAACCUGCCUGGUAGCGGGGGAUAACUAUUGGAAACGAUAGCUAAUACCGCAUAACAGUAGAUGUUGCAUGAUAUCUACUUAAAAGGUGCAAUUGCACCACUACCAGAUGGACCUGCGUUGUAUUAGCUAGUUGGUGAGGUAACGGCUCACCAAGGCGACGAUACAUAGCCGACCUGAGAGGGUGAUCGGCCACACUGGGAAUGAGACACGGCCCAGAAUCCUACGGGAGGCAGCAGUAGGGAAUCUGCGGCAAUGGACGGAAGUCUGACCGAGCAACGCCGCGUGAGUGAAGAAGGUUUUCGGAUCGUAAAGAUCUGUUGUAAGAGAAGAACGAGUGUGAGAGUGGAAAGUUCACACUGUGACGGUCUCUUACCAGAAAGGGACGGCUAACUACGUG
rnacentral:rRNA from 1 species